rnacentral:rRNA from 1 species
AUUGAACGCUGGCGGCAGGCUUAACACAUGCAAGUCGAACGAGUGGCGGACGGGUGAGUAAUGUUUGGGAAACUGCCUGAUGGAGGGGGAUAACUACUGGAAACGGUAGCUAAUACCGCAUACCAUCAGAUGUGCCCAUAUGGGAUUAGCUAGUAGGUGGGGUAACGGCUCACCUAGGCGACGCUCCCUAGCUGGUCUGAGAGGAUGACCAGCCACACUGGAACUGAGACACGGGCCAGACUCCUACGGGAGGCAGCAGUGGGGAAUAUUGCACAAUGGGCGCAAGCCUGAUGCAGCCAUGCCGCGUGUGUGAAGAAGGCCUUCGGGUUGUAAAGCACUUUCAGCGGGGAGGCGUUACCCGCAGAAGAAGCACCGGCUAACGCCGUGCCAGCAGCCGCGGUAAUUC